rnacentral:lncRNA from 1 species
GAAGGCUCAAGCACAAAUUAAAGGCCAUGUGAGGACACAGCGAGAUGGUUAUCUGCAGGCCAAGAAGAAAGACCUCAGGAAAAACCAUUGCGUUACAGAAACCUUAGUUCUUCAAAACAUGAACUUCUUACUGCAUGACAUCCAGAUUUCCCCAGAGCUCCCAACCAAUCAUUGGAAAAGGAAAAGUCAGAGAAAUUGGAAGCCUGAGAUUGACAAUGCUAUUCUUGACAUCUGAUAGUGAGAACCAUAAGCAAGGACUG